GGUUCGGUCGAGUGGUCUGCCUUUGGCAAGUAUUGCUUUGAUUGGAUCCUCCUUCUAGAGAACCGGUAUGCCCUUAACUGGGUGUGUCGGGGAUCUAGGACCAUUACCUUGAAAAAAUUAGAGUUCUCAAAGCAGGCUAUCAGCCUGAAUAGAUUAGCAUGGAGUAGAUAGGACGGUGGUCCUAUUUUGUUGGUUUCUAGGAUUGCCGUA
rnacentral:rRNA from 1 species